rnacentral:rRNA from 1 species
GAUGAACGCUGGCGGCGUGCCUAAUACAUGCAAGUCGAGCGAACAGACGAGGAGCUUGCUCCUCUGACGUUAGCGGCGGACGGGUGAGUAACACGUGGAUAACCUACCUAUAAGACUGGGAUAACUUCGGGAAACCGGAGCUAAUACCGGAUAAUAUAUUGAACCGCAUGGUUCAAUAGUGAAAGACGGUUUUGCUGUCACUUAUAGAUGGAUCCGCGCCGCUUUAGCUAGUUGGUAAGGUAACGGCUUAUCAAGGCAACGAUGCGUAGCCGACCUGAGAGAGGGGUCGGCCACAUGGGAACGGAGACACGGACCAUGCGCCUAAGAGAGGCAGCAGUAGGGAACCUGCCGCAGUGGUCGAAAGCCUGACGGAGCAACGCCGAGUGAGUGAUGGAGGUGUUCGGAUCGUAAAGCUCUGUUAUGAGGGAAGAACAAAUGUGUAAGUAACUAUGCACGUCUUGACGGUACCUAAUCAGAAAGCCACGGCUAACUACGUG